rnacentral:lncRNA from 1 species
GUUCUUCUCACUAGAGGCAAUCAUUGUUACUGAUAGAUUUUACCAAUUUUAUGAGCUGAUUGUUAUGGCCUGAAUGUGUCUCCUAGAAUUCUAGGUUUGUAUUAGUAAAGGUUCUCUAGAGGAACAGAAUCAACAGGAAGUAUAAUUAUAAAAGGGGGAUUUAUUAUGUUGGCUUAUGUAACCAGAAGCUGGAUAAUCCACAAUGACUGUCUGCAGGCUGAAGCACUGGAAAAACCAGUAGCUGUGCAAUCCAAGAGGCUGAAGCCCCAGAACAAGAGGGCAGUCCUACCCUAGUCUGAGAUCGAAGGCUACUGGAGAAUCACUGGCAGAAUCUGCUUUGGAAGAGUGAAGAAGCAAGAGUCCAAUGUCCUCAGACAAUAGCAGCAGCAAUCAAGAACCUGUUCAAGAAGCAUUGAGCUUGCAUCUGCUGCUGCUUCCUUGUUCUUCCAACUUUUAUUCCAUCCAAGCCAUCAUUAUUGGACAGUGCUGCCAAUGCUUAGGGAGGGUCUCCAUUUCAGUUGACUAUCCCACAUGCAAUCAUUCCUAGACACACCCUCACCAACACACCCGUAAGGCUCUUAAUUGUCAGCACCUCUUAAUCAGAUCACGUUGACAUUCAAAUUGACUCUUGAAACUUUCAAAAUAUGAUAAUAUUCAGAAAUGAAAUCUUCAAAGAGAGAAAGGUUUGUUUUCUUCUGCUCUUUCACUGAGCAGAUAAGGAUACCUGAAGGUGUCUUCUACAAAAACAAACUUUCACAAGACACCAGCCCUACCAGUGCUUUGAUCUUAGACCGCUCAGCCUCUAGAACUGAAACAUUAAUAGUUGCUCUUAUCCAAACUCAAGCAUUUUGAUAAAAUAACACAAAUGACCUAAGACAAUAAUUAUUUCAAAUAUUUUUUAUAUUAUUCUUAAG